rnacentral:rRNA from 1 species
UACGGAGGGUGCAAGCGUUGUUCGGAAUUACUGGGCGUAAAGGGCUCGUAGGCGGCCAACUAAGUCAGACGUGAAAUCCCUCGGCUUAACCGGGGAACUGCGUCUGAUACUGGAUGGCUUGAGAUUGGGAGAGGGAUGCGGAAUUCCAGGUGUAGCGGUGAAAUGCGUAGAUAUCUGGAGGAACGCCGGUGGCGAAGGCGGCAUCCUGGACCAACACUGACGCUGAGGAGCGAAAGCCAGGGGAGCAAACGGG